rnacentral:tRNA from 1 species
UAGCUCAAUGUCAGAGCCCGUGCCUAGGAUGCACGAAGCCCUGGGUUCAAUCCCCAG